AGACUUUAAAACAAAGGCUAUACAUAAUGGGGAGAGAGAGAAGAAUCUUCUCUCUUCUCAGGAUCUCAGGUUGGCCUCACAGUGGCCACUCUUUCUUUGAGGUGAGCAACAGGC
ensembl:snoRNA